UAGGGAAUCUUCGGCAAUGGGGGGAACCCUGACCGAGCAACGCCGCGUGAGUGAAGAAGGUUUUCGGAUCGUAAAGCUCUGUUGUUAAGGAAGAACGAGUGUGAGAAUGGAAAGUUCAUACUGUGACGGUACUUAACCAGAAAGGGACGGCUAACUACGUGCCAGCAGCCGCGGUAAUACGUAGGUCCCGAGCGUUGUCCGGAUUUAUUGGGCGUAAAGCGAGCGCAGGCGGUUAGAUAAGUCUGAAGUUAAAGGCAGUGGCUCAACCGGGGAGGGUCAUUGGAAACUGGUUGACUUGAGUGCAGAAGAGGAGAGUGGAAUUCCAUGUGUAGCGGUGAAAUGCGUAGAUAUAUGGAGGAACACCAGUGGCGAAGGCGACUCUCUGGUCUGUAACUGACGCUGAGGCUCGAAAGCGUGGGUAGCAAACAGG
rnacentral:rRNA from 1 species